rnacentral:lncRNA from 1 species
CUUACCAUAGGCUAUUUUGUUGAUUCCUGUUGAGUUAGAUAAGAUAGGGACUUUCUACAACCUAGAGAAUAUAAGAGGAAUUUUUGGAACAUCAGUGAACCAGGCUGCCAAAUAUUAAUUUUGAAUCCUGCAGCUAUGAUAAUGAUAAAAUAGAUCGAUUUAGGAACAAAUUCCCACAUUUAAAUGAAAUGUUGUUACAAUAAAUUUUGUAUGGAAAAGGGAGUACCUGUGUUCUAGGUUUGAAAAUAAUUAGGUGAGUGAAUUUCUAAUUGAGCAAUAAAAACCAAAACAAGUAAUACAACAUGUGUAGUUGACCUUGUACUUGAGCUCUUUCUAUCGAGUUAUUGCAUUUACUCAUUCACUUGUUUAUUCAUUUAACUGAAUAUAUUGAGUGCUUCCUAUGGAGCAGGUACUCUGGAUUUCUGGGCACUUGUUAUUUAAUAAUGAACCUAUAAUUUAGUAGGAAAAUUGGACAUUAAUAAAAUAAUCACAUACAUAAAUGCUAAGUCUUAAUUUUGGUGAGUAUUACAGAAGAGAGGUGUUCAGAGUAAGAACAGCUCUUAAAAGCGGAAAUUUGAUAUGAUCAAGCAGGCUAGAGAAGGGCUUUCUAAGAGAGAUGGAUGCUUAGUAUGAGAUGUAAAGGAGUUUAUGUGGAGAUCAGGGUCAGAUUCUAUAUCAAUUCAUUGGAAUAUGUCAUAGGUCUUUAUUGCUUAAAAUCCCUGAAUGAUUGUUUUGAAGCAGAAAGUGAAGGAAAAACCUGUCCUAAUGACUUUAUUGUAUUUUACAUUAUCCCCUGCAAAAUGGAAAACUGAAAAGGUUGGAGGUUAAAACUAGUGUAAAAUACCUGUGCAGUUUUUCAUUUUGAAGAAUAAUGUAAAAUACAAUCAAAUCAUUAGAAUAGGUGUUCCUUUUACUGUCUGUUCAAGACAGUCAUGGGACAUAUCUUUCUAGGAACACAACGCCAAAAUAUCCUUACUCUUUUUGGUUGAUGGUCACAGUACUUCAUUGUCCAAUUUCUCCCAAAGA